AUUUGCCCCAAAAGGACCACUCCAGAUGUAUUUAUCCUCAAACUGGCCCAUAUGCAAAUUGGCAAAGGUGGGGGAAAACUUGGUGCCCAUGGCAGUCCCGUAAAUCUGAUUCCCCCAGGAUUAACAUAGUGCAUACCCUGCCUUGGAUUAUAUCAAAGUGGUUCAGAUUGCUGUUCCAUACCGGUGAUAAGGAGAAUACAUUUUAUUCAUUUGGUAAUAUUAACGCUGAAUUGUCCCACCAACUGCAGUGUUUGGCGAUAAGAGAAUUUGCUAAAGAAGGUGCAACAUAGAAAAAUGUUCCUGCUCAAAACAAGAGUUAAGGCCGCUGUGGUUGGGUGGAAAUUAAGCUGCAGAAGAGCAGUAGAGGAAAGCAAUAACUGUUAAGAACAAGCAGGUAGAAGUUAAAAUCACCAGAGAUUCCAUCUAAUAAAUAUUUGCUAGCCCAUUACAUUGACCUUAAAUGGUAAAAUCUUCAAGAGAAAUCUAUGCCCAUAGGAGUCAUGUUCAGACAUAUGUAGGAGAAAUGUGCGUAAAAUAAUACCAAACAUGCGAGCAAACAUUUGUGAAAAUGAAAUGAGAUGGAGAAGUACUGUAAUAUAAAUUGGAGGUAUUAAUGAAGGAGUUUAAGAAACAGUAAAAAGAAAAGGAGGAAGGUGGAUUCCAUUUCAUAUUCAGCCUGAGGAUGAAAGAGCAUAAAGCUAAAUCCUUGAUCUAAUUAUGUAAUUAGAACAAAGCACUUGCUUCAUAUAUUUAGAAUUCUGACAAUAUCUCCGUGUGCAUAUCAUUAUUUUGAUUUACUGUUAUGUGCUGCUGUUUUA